AAACCCUUGUUUGUCGUCUAAACAAAACGGACGGUGCUGAUAGGCCUCGCUCUCGCAUCUCAAUCGUCUCCGCUCUCCUUUCUUCUCCAGCGUCCGAUCGCUCUCCAUUCUCUCCGAUCCAUACCUCUUUAAACUCGCGCCAAAUACAAAUUCAUUCCUUCCUCUCAGGGUUCCGGCGACGAUGGCUGAAGCUCCGGGCAGUCCAGGCGGCGGCAGCCAUGAGAGCGGUGAGCAUAGCCCUCGCUCUAAUGUCCGUGAGCAGGACAGGUUUCUUCCCAUCGCCAACAUCAGCCGAAUUAUGAAAAAAGCACUUCCUGCUAAUGGAAAAAUAGCCAAGGACGCAAAGGAGACUGUGCAGGAAUGUGUUUCAGAGUUUAUCAGCUUCAUCACCAGCGAGGCGAGUGAUAAGUGUCAGAGAGAGAAGAGGAAGACAAUUAAUGGCGAUGAUUUACUUUGGGCGAUGGCAACUCUAGGUUUUGAGGAUUAUAUUGAUCCCUUGAAGAUUUACCUGGCCAGAUACAGGGAGGUAAUUUAUAUUUACAGUGUCGUUCAUUUUUCUUUAAAUGCUGAGAAACACAAAAAAGAAAAGGUUGGUGGAUAAAGUCCAGAGUCUUGAUCUAUUAUAAGUAACGGAAGUACUGCACACAAUCAUCGUGUUAUUCUGUUAAGCUUUGCAAUUUACUGAUGGCAUUAUUUCAUGUUUUUCAACGAUUUCCUCGGGGGCUGUUGGGAAUGUUGCAGAUGGAGGGUGAUACCAAGAGUUCUGCAAAAGGUGGAGAUGCAUCGGCCAAGAAAGAUGUUCAACCUAAUCCUAAUGCUCAGCUUGCCCAUCAAGGUUCAUUUCCCCAAGGUGUUAAUUACGCAAAUUCCCAGUGGAAAAUGUUAGCACUGUGCCGGCCCUUGAUAGAUAGAAGGUGUAAUUUGGACAGACUUUAAAGAGAAGCUCAACAUAUGAUGGUUCCUACGCAGGGUCCAGAGUAGUCAUUGGUAUUUGUUAAUCCGUCCCUCCGUUGUCAGUGGAGUUAUGGUCCCCAAAAAUAAAAUCUCCAGUGGAGAUUUAUUCGGUGCCCUCGGCUUUCUGAAUGCAUUUAAUAUUUUGUGAAUACUGACAUUAGGAGAUCGUGGUUCUCGUGUCCAGAUAAUUUUUAUCAAGGUUUGUAUAUUAGUAUUGGAGCAGUUUUACUAUUUCUGGGAGCUUUAUUGUAAAUCCUGGAUUGCAUGUUUGUUUGAUUCCAUUAGGAGGAAGGCUUUAGCAUUAUUCACUCAUGAUUUUAUGUAACUGAUUGGAAAAAAAUAAUUUGCUAUAUUAUUUUCGUAUCCAUUGGACAAA